UUGAUCCUGGCUCAGAACGAACGCUGGCGGCGUGCUUAACACAUGCAAGUCGAACGCGAAAGGGACUUCGGUCCCGAGUAGAGUGGCGCACGGGUGAGUAACUAAGUAAUCUACCCCUGUAUUCGGAAUACCCCACCGAAAGGUGAGCUAAUACCGGAUACGUUUAUCUUGAUGCGAAUGAUGAUAAAGAAAGGUGGCCUCUUCUUGAAAGCUACUGUACAGGGACGAGCUUGCGUACCAUUAGCUAGUUGGUAGGGUAAUGGCCUACCAAGGCAACGAUGGUUAGCGGGUCUGAGAGGAUGAUCCGCCACACUGGAACUGGAACACGGACCAGACUCCUACGGGAGGCAGCAGUGAGGAAUAUUGCGCAAUGGGGGCAACCCUGACGCAGCGACGCCGCGUGGAUGAUGAAGGCCUUCGGGUCGUAAAAUCCUGUCAGGUGGAAAGAAGUGCAUAGUGGCUAAUAUCCAUUAUGUUUGACGGUACCACCGAAGGAAGCACCGGCUAACUCCGUGCCAGCAGCCGCGGUAAUACGGAGGGUGCAAGCGUUGUUCGGAAUUACUGGGCGUAAAGCGCGCGUAGGCGGUUUGUUAAGUCAGAUGUGAAAGCCCAUGGCUCAACCAUGGACGUGCAUUUGAAACUGGCAGACUUGAGUAUUGGAGGGGGUGGUGGAAUUCCCGGUGUAGAGGUGAAAUUCGUAGAUAUCGGGAGGAAUACCGGUGGCGAAGGCGACCACCUGGACCAAUACUGACGCUCAGGUGCGAAGGCGUGGGUAGCAAACAGGAUUAGAUACCCUGGUAGUCCACGCAGUAAACGGUGAUCACUAGGUGUAGCGGGUAUUGACCCCUGCUGUGCCGUAGCUAACGCAUUAAGUGCCCCGCCUGGGGAGUACGGUCGCAAGAUUAAAACUCAAAGGAAUUGACGGGGGCCCGCACAAGCGGUGGAGCAUGUGGUUUAAUUCGACGCAACGCGAAGAACCUUACCUGGAUUUGACAUCCCGGGAAUCUCUAUGAAAGUAGAGAGUGCCUUUCGGGGAGCCCGGAGACAGGUGCUGCAUGGCUGUCGUCAGCUCGUGUCGUGAGAUGUUUGGUUAAGUCCAGCAACGAGCGCAACCCCUAUCUUUAGUGUUACCAUCAUUCAGUUGGGGACUCUAAAGAUACUGCCCCGGUUAACGGGGAGGAAGGUGGGGAUGACGUCAAGUCCUCAUGGCCUUUAUGUCCAGGGCUACACACGUGCUACAAUGGGCUGUACAAAGGGUCGCAAACUCGCGAGAGUAAGCCAAUCCCAAAAAGCAGCUCCUAGUUCGGAUUGGAGUCUGCAACUCGACUCCAUGAAGCUGGAAUCGCUAGUAAUCGUGGAUCAGCACGCCACGGUGAAUACGUUCCCGGGCCUUGUACACACCGCCCGUCACACCAUGAGAGUUGGUUGUACCAGAAGUUGCCGGGCUAACCCGUAAGGGGGGCAGGCACCUAAGGUAUGGCUGAUGAUUGGGGUGAAGUCGUAACAAGGUAACC
rnacentral:rRNA from 1 species